CCCCCGCCGCCGCUCUCGUCGCAAAGCUCUCUCUGCGGACGCUCUCAUCGCAUCUGCUCCCUCUGGCACCUCUUCCAUCUAAUCUCAACUCGCUCUCUCAGUUCUUCUUGUAACCAUCUCAAAUUUCAGUGUUACAGCUCAAGAUCUUGUUGACACUAUGCUUCUAAAUUUGCUUCUAAAUUUCUGAUAUCUUCACUCUUAACGAUGGAUCUGUAACGCCUCUACUCAAGAGCAUGACAGUGCAUAAUAUGUAUGUUGGAGAGGGUUCAGACUUCCAAUAUAAUAUAUAAAAGGGUGGCUGAGCAGUGGGGUUCUCUUGGUGACUUGACUGUGUCUGUUACAUCGAUUCGAUUCGAUUGAUACAGAAGGAAUACUCAGGAUCUGCUAGA